rnacentral:rRNA from 1 species
UACGUAGGUGGCAAGCGUUGUCCGGAAUUAUUGGGCGUAAAGCGCGCGCAGGCGGUCCUUUAAGUCUGAUGUGAAAGCCCACGGCUCAACCGUGGAGGGUCAUUGGAAACUGGGGGACUUGAGUGCAGAAGAGGAAAGCGGAAUUCCAGGUGUAGCGGUGAAAUGCGUAGAUAUCUGGAGGAACACCGGUGGCGAAGGCGGCAUCCUGGACCGAGAUUGACGCUGAGGCGCGAAAGCCAGGGGAGCAAACGGG